GACGAACGCUGGCGGCGUGCUUAACACAUGCAAGUCGAACGGAAAGGCCUGCUUUCCCUUGUGGAUUGCGGGUACUCGAGUGGCGAACGGGUGAGUAACACGUGAGUGAUCUGCCCCCAACUUGGGUAUAAGCCUGGGAAACUGCGUCUAAUUCCCGAUAGGACUGCAGGGUGGUGCCGGUGGUGGAAAACGAUUUUCUAGUGGUUGGGGAUGAGCUCGCGGCCUAUCAGCGUGUUGGUGGGGUAAUGGCCUACCAAGGCGGCGACGGGUAGCCGGCCUGUGAGGGUGGACGGCCACAUUGGGACUGGGCUGCGGCCCCGACUGCUACGGGCGGCAGCAGUGGGGAAUAUUGCACGGUGGGCGGAAGCCUGAUGCAGCGACGCCGCGUGGGGGAUGACGGCCUUCGGGUUGUAAACUCCUUUCGACCGCGAGGAAGCCACCUGGUUGGAAGGGUGGUGACGGUAGUGGUAGAAGAAGCACCGGCUAACUACGUG
rnacentral:rRNA from 1 species